rnacentral:rRNA from 1 species
UACGGAGGGUGCAAGCGUUGCUCGGAAUUAUUGGGCGUAAAGGGUAGGUAGGUGGUCUCAUUUGUCUGGGGUGAAAUCCUUGAGCUUAACUCAAGAACUGCCCUAGAAACGGUGAGACUCGAGUCCUGGAGAGGGUCGUGGAAUUCCCGGUGUAGCGGUGAAAUGCGUAGAGAUCGGGAGGAACACCAGAGGCGAAGGCGGCGACCUGGACAGGUACUGACACUCAACUACGAAAGCGUGGGGAGCAAACAGG